ensembl:snRNA U1 U1 spliceosomal RNA
GUUCUUACCUGGCAGGGGAGACACCAUGAUCAGGAAGGUGGUUUUCCCAGGGCCAGGUUCUUCCAUUGCACUUGGGAUGCACUGACCCCCGCGAUUUCCCUGAAUGGGGGAAACUCGACCGCAUAAUUUGUGGUAGUGGGGGCUGCGUUUGCACUCUCUCCUA